CUCUAUCUAUCAGUUUCUGGAUUCUGCUUUUCCUUGCACUGUUUACCUCACCUAUUCAGAAUGAAAGCCUCCGCUUACCCUUUUGCCUUUUGCAGUUUAAGACAAUAAAAUUUAUAACUGGACACUCAAAUGGUUUAGCUAUUGAGAUUUUGAAUAGAGUGUCUGAUUCACCAUUUACGAGAAUGAUGUCCACAAGAAAGGCCAGGAGAUUGAUUAAACAACUUCCAUAAAGAAGGAGAAAGUGCUUCAGCAGUGGGCCCCUCGACUGCUUCAUACUCUGUAAUGGCUCUACAGACGUAUACGCAUUGUCUGGGAGUAGUUCACAGCUAAACAUAUGGGUUUGGACCUAUUAAUGUGAUGAGUCCUCAAUCGAUCAAUAGUUGGUUCCUCCUUCAUCACCCAAAUCUCCUAUUUAUGCAUGAACAUUAGCAAGGUAUAUCACUGGAAUUUGAGCAUUUAGCGUUACCAUAGCAGAACAAUUUUACCCUCACUAGUUUUAACAGCCUAACUGACAGAAACCAUGCAGCCUUUAUAGUAGCUGCCAGUGGAAAUUUGAAUCAGGAUUUGCCGGAGAGGCCAUUGGCACCUGCUUAUUACUUACUAGUCUCUCUCUCUGUUUACAAAUUAGAGUGUUUUUUGGGUGGUUUCAUCCUAAGUUGCUACUAUAAGCAUAACCAGAUAUGCAGCGCAAUAAUUCAUGUUCUGUUUUUGUCAAUGAAGAACUCAAACGAGAACUUUAUAUUCAGCCAUCAAGAUCUGCUACUUGAAGAAACCAAUGUGUAAGGACCAGGUCUAGCGGAUCCAUCAAAAUAGAUAGUUCAAUCAGAAAAGCAUGCAAGCCGUGCAACCUUACAGCAGAUUAACAGCAUACUGAAGCUGAAGAGGAAUGCAUGGUUACUGUCUGCCGCAUGCUUAAAGAGCGCCUCAACUGCACGGGGCACAACCCCUG